GCACUGUAUGGGCAGUUAUGGACUUUCACAGGUUUUGAGGACCUUUCAGUCCAUCAUGGCGGCGCCCAAUGGCACUCUGAAUUGUGCGGACUUUUUAAUGUUUCAGGAGGUGUUAAAAGCAAUGCGUACCUUUGAUGACCGGAUUGUCCAUGCUCUCAACACUACCGUGCCCACGGUGUCCUUCUCAGGAAAAGUGGAUGUCACGCAGACCUGCAAAGAGCUCUAUGAGUCUCUGGUGGAGGCCCAUUUGAGGAGAGAUAAAGCAAUAAAAACGUGUAUUAUAGAAACCUCAGAAGUUGUCGGGCGGUUACGUGAAGCAAGGGCGAAGGACAGCGACAACCUGUCAAUCAUCAAACAACUCAGGAAAGAGCAAAACAAGUUAAAACUCAUGCAGUCUGAACUGAACGUUGAAGAAGUCAUCAAUGAUCGCAGUUUGAAGAUCCAAAUCAAACAUCAGAAUGGGGGGUGGACAUGAUCUCAGUGACUUUGAUCGUAGCAUGGUUCUUGGUGCCACACAGAAUAACAACUCUGUACAGCCGUGGUUUUCAACGAACGAUGUCGGAUCCACUACACCCCCCCUAAGAACUAAUUAAAGCUCCGUUCCCUUUGGAGAGGGCUACAGUAUACACUGAGCUGGCUGUGAAUCUCUGGAAACAACUGGAGUGAGUUGGGAUACCGCUCUGUUUUAAAUCCCUCUCAUUUCCCACUGUUAGUCUGAACUCCUGUGUUUCUACAGUAACAUGAGACUUCUUGCUCUUUAUGCCAGCGUUGUACUAAAUGUUGUACAAAGAUUUUUAUAAACAUUUAGUUGUUUUUUUCCAGUG